rnacentral:rRNA from 1 species
GACAGAGGAGCCAAGCGUUGUCCGGACUGACUGGGCGUAAAGCGCACGCAGGCGGCGCUGCGCGUGGGGUGUGAAAGCCCCGGGCUCAACCUGGGAAUGGCAGUGGAAACUAGGGGACUGGAAUCUGGCAGAGGGGGGUGGAAUGCCGCGUGUAGCAGUGAAAUGCGUAGAGAUGCGGCGGAACACCGAUGGCGAAGGCAGCCCCCUGGGCUGAGAUUGACGCUCAGGCACGAAAGCGUGGGGAGCAAACAGG